AUAUCAAUAAGCGGAGGAAAAGAAACCAACAGGGAUUGCCUUAGUAGCGGCGAGUGAAGCGGCAAAAGCUCAAAUUUGAAAUCUGGCACUUUCAGUGUCCGAGUUGUAAUUUGAAGAAGGUAACCUUGAGGCUAGCUCUUGUCUAUGUUCCUUGGAACAGGACGUCACAGAGGGUGAGAAUCCCGUGCGAUGAGAUGACUAGUUUCAUGUAAGGUGCUUUCGAAGAGUCGAGUUGUUUGGGAAUGCAGCUCUAAGUGGGUGGUAAAUUCCAUCUAAAGCUAAAUAUUGGCGAGAGACCGAUAGCGAACAAGUACAGUGAUGGAAAGAUGAAAAGAACUUUGAAAAGAGAGUGAAAAAGUACGUGAAAUUGUUGAAAGGGAAGGGCUUGAGAUCAGACUUGGUAUUUUGCGCCCCUACUCUCGGGUGGGGUCUCCGCAGCUUACUGGGCCAGCAUCGGUUUGGACGGUAGGAUAAUGACGAAGGAAUGUGGCUUUGCUUCGGUAAAGUGUUAUAGCCUUAGUUGAUACUGCCAGUCUAGACCGAGGACUGCGAUUUUUCUAGGAUGUUGGCAUAAUGAUCUUAAGUCGC
rnacentral:rRNA from 1 species